GCCUGAGUGGCGCAGUGGUUAACGCGUCUGUCUUGUAAACAGAAGACUCCUGGGUUCAAAUCCCAGCUUGGGCU
rnacentral:tRNA from 1 species